rnacentral:lncRNA from 1 species
UUAGAGAGAGAGUUUAGUUAGAGAAAGUGGUCUUUUGUUAGUUUUCGGAAGUUUUUCGGUGUGAAGUGUAGAUCGUUAGGAGGAGUUUGGUGGAGUUAGGAUCCGACCUUUUCAACCUUAGUUAGAGACCUUCUCAUCCUGAAGCAUUGUGAGUUAUGGUGAUGUGUGAUUGUUUGUUAACACGUUUAUUACUUCAGGUUCCCGACAUUUUUAAGUUAGAUCUCAGCAGGAGGCUAGAUCUGUCUUGGUGUCAGUUUGUAUAGUUAGAUCUAAGAUUAAUUACUUGUAAAGUUUGAGUGUUAAUUUAUCAAAGACGGUUCGGGGGUG